CUGCUCCGGGGAGAUGAAGUGCACGUGGGUAUCAAUCGCACCAGCGGUGAUGAUCUUGCCUUCGCCGCCAAUAACCUCGGUGCCCACGCCGAUCAUGACGUCGACAUCGUCCAUGAUGUCUGGGUUACCGGCAUUUCCGAUCUUCAGAAUCUUGCCGUCUUUGAUUGCAAUAUCUGCGGUAAAAAUGCCGGUGUGGUCGAUGACCGUUCCGUUGGUGAUCACCAAGUCUGGCACCAUAUCGUUACCACGCAUGCGCGAGUUCUGGCCCAUACCAUCGCG
rnacentral:sRNA from 1 species